rnacentral:rRNA from 1 species
GAUGAACGCUAGCUACAGGCUUAACACAUGCAAGUCGAGGGGAAACGAUAUUGGAAGCUUGCUUCCGAUAGGCGUCGACCGGCGCACGGGUGAGUAACGCGUAUCCAACCUGCCCAUCACUUGGGGAUAACCUUGCGAAAGUAAGACUAAUACCCAAUGACGUCUCUAGAAGACAUCUGAAAGAGAUUAAAGAUUUAUCGGUGAUGGAUGGGGAUGCGUCUGAUUAGCUUGUUGGCGGGGUAACGGCCCACCAAGGCGACGAUCAGUAGGGGUUCUGAGAGGAAGGUCCCCCACAUUGGAACUGAGACACGGUCCAAACUCCUACGGGAGGCAGCAGUGAGGAAUAUUGGUCAAUGGACGCAAGUCUGAACCAGCCAUGCCGCGUGCAGGAUGACGGCUCUAUGAGUUGUAAACUGCUUUUGACGAGGGUAAACGCAGAUACGUGUAGCGCUGUGCAUGUACCGGGAGAAUAAGCAUCGGCUAAUUCCG